CCACCUGUUCCCAUACCGAACACAGCAGUUAAGCCCGUAAACGCCGAAAGUACUUGGCUGGAGACGGCCUGGGAGGAUAGGUAGACGCCGGUU
rnacentral:rRNA from 1 species